rnacentral:rRNA from 1 species
GAUCAAGCUAUGAAGGGCAUACAGCGGAUGCCUUGGCACAGAAAGGCGAUGAAGGACGUGGUAAGCUGCGAUAAGCCUCGGGUAGGUGCAAACAACCUUUGAUCCGGGGAUUUCCGAAUGGGGAAACCCGAUGCGGGUAAUGCCGCAUCAUCCCCGAGUGAAUACAUAGCUCGGGAGAGGCAAACGGGGCGAACUGAAACAUCUCAGUAACCCCAGGAACAGAAAGCAACCGCGAUUUCCUCAGUAGCGGCGAGCGAACGGGAAACAGCCCAAACCGGUUCGUACGUUAAAGCCUGCAUGCGUUGUACGACCGGGGUCGUGGGACGAAAUCCGAUGGAAAUGCAGAUCCGUCAGGGAGUUACAAAUUCGCGCCGUAGUGGAACAGUUCUGGAACGACUGGCCAUAGAGGGUGAAAGCCCCGUCUGCGAAACGGUUCGGACUCCUGUGAUUUUGUUCCCAAGUACCGCGGGACACGUGAAAUCCUGUGGGAAUUCGGGAGGACCACCUUCCAAGGCUAAAUACUCUUCUGUGACCGAUAGUGAACUAGUACCGUGAGGGAAAGGUGAAAAGUACUCCUGCUAGGAGAGUGAAACAGUACCUGAAACUGUAUGCCUACAAGCGGUCGGAGGGCAACCUCGAACCUCCGGGUUCGAGGACGACCUGACGGCGUGCCUUUUGCAUAAUGAGCCGGCGAGUUACCAUGCGUUGCAAGGUUAACCCACUCUGUGGGGGAGCCGAAGCGAAAGCGAGUCUGAACAGGGCGACCAAGUAGCGUGGGGUAGACCCGAAGCCAGGUGAUCUAUCCAUGGCCAGGAUGAAGCGCGACUAAUCUCGCGUGGAGGUCCGAACCCACCAAUGUUGAAAAAUUGGGGGAUGAGCUGUGGAUAGGGGUGAAAGGCCAAUCAAACCUGGAGAUAGCUGGUUCUCCCCGAAAUAGUUUUAGGACUAGCCUUCUGUUAUAGAGUUGCGGAGGUAGAGCACUGGAUAGGCUCGGGCCUUCACCAGGGUACCAACCCUAACCAAACUCCGAAUGCCGUAAACUCGUUGCAGGGGAGUCAGUCUGCGGGGGAUAAGCUCCGUAGGCAAAAGGGAAACAACCCAGAUCGCCAGCUAAGGCCCCCAAGUAUGAGCUAAGUGAGAAAGGAUGUGGGAGCGCUGAGACAGCUAGGAUGUUGGCUUAGAAGCAGCCAUUCAUUUAAAGAGUGCGUAACAGCUCACUAGUCAAGUGAUCCUGCGCCGACAAUGAUCGGGACUCAAGCUCAUCGCCGAAGCUGCGGGUUUCAGUCUUUCAGACUGGAGCGGUAGGGGAGCAUUCUAUGGUAGGCCGAAGGCGAACCGUAAGGUUUGCUGGACGAAAUAGAAGAGACGAUGCCGGCAUGAGUAGCGACAAAACAGGUGAGAAUCCUGUUCACCGAAAGUCUAAGGUUUCCUGGGGAAGGUUCGUCCGCCCAGGGUCAGUCGGGUCCUAAGCCGAGGCCGAAAGGCGUAGGCGAUGGGAAACAGGUUAAUAUUCCUGUACCACCUUAGAGAUGUUCGAGCUAUGGGGUGACGCAGAAGUGGCGGCCAGCCCGCGACUGGAAAUGCGGGUCCAAGCCUGUAGGGGGACCGUCCAGGCAAAUCCGGACGGUUGUCAACCCUGAGGGGUUAUGGGGAAACGAGCCUUCGGGCAAGCCAACUGGCCUUAAUCAUACUGCCAAGAAAAACCUCUGUGCGAGUCUCUCGGGUGUCCGUACCGCAAACCGACACAGGUAGACGGGGAGAGAAUCCCAAGGUGCGCGAGAGAACCUCCGUUAAGGAACUAGGCAAAUUGGCUCCGUAACUUCGGGAGAAGGAGCACCUCCAAGUAGGUGAUCGGACUCGCUCCGUGAGCCGAAGGAGGUCGCAGAGAAACGGCCUGGGCGACUGUUUACUAAAAACACAGGUCUCUGCAAAGUCGCAAGACGACGUAUAGGGACUGACACCUGCCCGGUGCCAGCCGGUUAAGAGGAGGGGUCAGCCUUCGGGCGAAGCUCUGAAUCGAAGCUCUGGUAAACGGCGGCCGUAACUAUAACGGUAGGAUCGGGAGUGGUUUCCCGAAAGGGCCGUGGAUAAAUUCGGCUAUAUGCUGGAACAGCUCAUGUAUCCCAUGCUACCGAGGAGGUGAAAACGUCAUGGGUGGAGCCGAUCAGCAGGAAAGGCUUUCGCAUACGAAAGAUUCAAGGUGGUUUCUUGCAGGUUUCAUCGAAGGGGAAGGUUGUCUGACCGUCAGCGUCAAGAGUCAUCCGGGCGCCCGCUUUGGCUAUUAUGUGGAUCCGGAAUUCUUUCUGUAUCAACAUAAGAGCGGUCGCCGGCUUCUUGAGUUGGCCAGGGAAAUCUUCCAGACGGGACGCAUUUACCCCAAACCGGGGAAUUCGAACGUGCUGGUUUUUGCAAUUACGGCUCGGCGCAGCCUGGAGGAAAAGGUGGUGCCGUUUUUCGAACGCUACGUCGUUCCAUACAGCUGUAAAUGCGAAACUUUCAGGCGCUUUCGAGAAAUCCUCGGAAGGAUGAAGCGCAAGGAACACCUCAGCCCCGACGGUCUGGCUCGCGUUGUCGAGAAGGCAUACGCGAUGAAUCCGGCCGGCAAGGGACGUCAGCGGCUUCGGCCACUGGCGGAAGUACGCGAAAGAAUCCUCAGAGGCCAUACGCCGAACAUCCCGAUAUCGGGAUGAAGAUAUGGUCCAGUCCGUGUGGCGACACAGGGUUAAACUGCCUAAGGUAGCGAAAUUCCUCGUCGGUUAAUUGCCGACCUGCACGAAUGGUGUAACGGCUUGGGCGCUGUCUCAACGGGGGACUCGGCGAAAUUGUAGUUCCGGUGAAGAUGCCGGAUACCCGCGGCGGGACGGAAAGACCCCGUGAACCUUUACUCCAGCCUGACACUGGGUUUCGGCACAGUAUGUGUAGGAUAGGUGGGAGGCUACGAAGUGGGGGCGCCAGCCCUCAUGGAGCCGUCCUUGAAAUACCACUCUUAUUCUGCUGGAAUUCUAACCUGGGCCCUUGAAUCAGGGUCGGGAACACUGUCAGGUGGGAAGUUUGGCUGGGGCGGUCACCUCCUAAAGUGUAACGGAGGCGCCCAAAGGUUCCCUCAGCGCGGUCGGUAAUCGCGCAUAGAGCGUAAAGGUAUAAGGGAGCUUAACUGCGAGACACACAGGUCGAGCAGGUGCGAAAGCAGGGCUUAGUGAUCCGACGGUUGCGCGUGGAAGCGCCGAAGCUCAACGGAUAAAAGGUACUCCGGGGAUAACAGGCUGGUCCUCCCCAAGCGUCCAUAGCGACGGGAGGGCUCGGCACCUCGAUGUCGGCUCAUCACGUCCUGGGGCUGGACAAGGUCCCAAGGGUUAGGCUGUCCUCCUAUUAAAGUGGUACGCGAGCUGGGUUUAGAACGUCGUGAGACAGUUCGGUCCCUAUCUGCCGUGGGCGCAGGAUAUUUGAGGAGAUCUGUCCUUAGUACGAGAGGACCGGGAUGGACGAACCUCUAGUGUACCAGUUGUCUCGCCAGAGGCAUCGCUGGGUAGCUAUGUUCGGCAGGGAUAAGCGCUGAAAGCAUCUAAGCGCGAAGCCUACUCCAAGAUAAGAUAUCCCGUGGGUUAACCCACCUGAAGGCUCCUUGUAGACUACAAGGUCGAUAGGUCGCAGGUGUAAGCGCAGCAAUGCGUUCAGCCGAGCGAUACUAAUCAGCCGUGCGGCUUGAUCAA